rnacentral:rRNA from 1 species
CAAUAGCGUAUAUUAAAGUUGUUGCGGUAAAAAAGCUCGUAGUUGGAUUUCUACCGAAGAUAGCCGGUCGGGUCUUCGACCUUGUAUCUGGUUUUGUCUUUGGUAUCCUCAUAGGGAACGUUUCUGCGCUUUAUUGCGUGGUGCGGUAUCUAUGACUUUUACUUUGAGGAAAUUAGAGUGUUCACGGCAGGCAAACGCCUUGAAUAUAUUAGCAUGGAAUAAUAACAUAGGAUCUUCGUCCUAUUUUGUUGGUUUCUAGGGCUAAGAUAAUGAGUAAUAGGGAUAAUUGGGGGCAUCUGUAUCAACGCGUCAGAGGUGGAAUUCUUGGAUUGCGUUGCGACAAACUACUGCGAAAGCAUUUGCCAAGGAUGUUUUCAUUGA